AGACACAUACAAUAGGAAUACAAAAUACAAAAUGGCUGAUAGUUAGCAAGGUGAGACACACAUAAGAAAGAAGAAGGAAACAAAGGACCACUGAUGAGGUCACAGAAGUGUGACGAAAGAACUCUGGCCGAAAUAAGAUUAAGAUUAAGAUUAAUGUAAUAUAAAGCUGAAAAAAAAAAAAAGAAAA